rnacentral:misc_RNA from 1 species
ACCGGUGGAUGCGUGAUGUGUUCCGUGGCCGACAUACCAGGAGCCAUCAGAUGUCCUACUGCCGUGUGCGGGUCCCGUUCCAUCGUCCCUCGGACGCUCUGGAAAUCGAUACAUCUCAGCUGGUCAGCGACCUGCUAGUUAAAAAUUUCUUCGCGCCGCCUGUGAGUCUGCCCGGACGUCUGACGACGACGGGAAACGUGCUCUCGCAGGAGGUCUGCGGGCCACCCAUGCCCACGGACAGUCUGGCGUAAGAGAUCCUCUAUACCAACUCCCGGACCCCUUGUCUAUGUGUACUCUCGUUUCCUCGGCGGGCUCGCCCGCCAACGGGGACAAACAAACCCAUUUUUGCAGUGGAAGUCUCUGUCUGAACAAUACAAACCUUAUUAAAACUUUCAACAACGGAUCUCUUGGUUCUGGCAUCGAUGAAGAACGCAGCGAAAUGCGAUAAGUAGUGUGAAUUGCAGAAUUCAGUGAAUCAUCGAAUCUUUGAACGCACAUUGCGCCCUUUGGUAUUCCAUAGGGCAUGCCUGUUCGAGCGUCGUCUCAAGCCUUCAAGCCUAGCUUGGUGUUGGGUGACUGUCCCGCCUCGCCGCGUGGACUCGCCUCAAAGUCAUUGGCAGCAGACUCGGUAGCUAAUUGCGCAGCACAUCGCGCCAGAGGCUCCGGGCCCGCUCUCCACGAGCACAGUCUCAUCAGUUUGACCUCGGAUCAGGUAGGGAUACCCGCUGAACUUAA